GGAGCUGAUGAUGAGGAAGCACCUGAACCCCCGACAGAAAAUUGGAUUGGCUAUGAAACCGAAUUCGAAUAAUUCUGGUUUGGUGGAAUCGGCUGAAAAUAUGCCGGUCCCCUGUAUCCUCGAGGUAUCCCACCUGCGAAGGAGUUGACAACGGCAUUGUGCACCAUAUUUGAAAGUACCGGGGACUGAUCAACGAAGGCGUGAUAAAUGGACUAUUGAAUCAUAUCGGCCAUUUUGGC
rnacentral:lncRNA from 1 species